rnacentral:ncRNA from 1 species
UUAGCGCCAGACCAUUAAAUUGGUGACGAGGAAGUAGUUAUCGAAAAUUCGGCGGAUGCUACUACGGUUAAGUGAACCGUUAAGGUAUAUAUAAAAAGCAAAAUCAACAUUGUAACAAAGAAUAUAUCACA